rnacentral:rRNA from 1 species
GAUGAACGCUGGCGGCGUGCCUAAUACAUGCAAGUCGAGCGAACGGACGAGAAGCUUGCUUCUCUGAUGUUAGCGGCGGACGGGUGAGUAACACGUGGAUAACCUACCUAUAAGACUGGGAUAACUUCGGGAAACCGUAGCUAAUACCGGAUAAUAUUUUGAACCGCAUGGUUCAAAAGUGAAAGACGGUCUUGCUGUCACUUAUAGAUGGAUCCGCGCUGCAUUAGCUAGUUGGUAAGGUAACGGCUUACCAAGGCAACGAUGCAUAGCCGACCUGAGAGGGUGAUCGGCCACACUGGAACUGAGACACGGUCCAGACUCCUACGGGAGGCAGCAGUAGGGAAUCUUCCGCAAUGGGCGAAAGCCUGACGGAGCAACGCCGCGUGAGUGAUGAAGGUCUUCGGAUCGUAAAACUCUGUUAUUAGGGAAGAACAUAUGUGUAAGUAACUGUGCACAUCUAGACGGUACCUAAUCAGAAAGCCACGGCUAACUACGUG